rnacentral:lncRNA from 1 species
UAUAGAAGAGAGAGAAAGAAGGGGGAGGGGCACAGAAACUCACGGGGAAUGCGGAGGCGGUGCGGUAUUCGGGGGCAGACUUAAAGCUAGCCAAGGUGUGCGGGCGCACCCUCGGGAAAAAAAAUUUUAGUGCUAAGUUCCGUCGAAAAUCCCGUCCGCACCCUUUGGAAUUUUCCGUCCGCACCCCUUAGGUAAAACGGGUUAUCAAUUUAAAUUUUAAAUUUUUUUAGUAAACUCUUAUUUUUUUAAAAACACCACCUAAAUUAUAUAACUUUUGAUACCUAAAUAACUAAACCCAAAUACCCAAUACCUUUAACUAGCCCACUCCUAAGUCUUAGCACAAUAAACAAACCCAACAAAUCAACAAUAUUUCAAACUAAAAUAAAAUAAACAAGCCCAAAACCCUUACAUAUUCUCUCCCGCUCUCUAUCAUCCCUGCACGCACGCCAGCAAUCAGAACAUCAGCGACAACAAUAGCCGCAUACCACCGUAACCAGCCAUCAUACCACCGGCGAUCGAACACGACCACCGGAAGUGAAUUUUUUAUGGGAGGAGACAUGUGUGCUUCUUGUUAGCGAUGAUAUGUUAUUUUGUGGUGGGUUAUAUAUGUAUAUUUUGUUAGUGAUGAUGAUGAUAUUUUGUCUUUUUUUGUGGGUUAUAUACACGAUCAGACCUGAUGUUUGGAUUUUUUUUAAAUGGUGUAUAUGAUGGCUUGAAUACUUGA